UUAGCACUCAUGCUGAACAAGUCGUGUGAUAUUUCGCUCGUUAAUAAAGACUCUUGCCGGAUUCAAUUCUCACAAGAAGAAAGUUUUCAAUCACAGAUGACACGCGCUAUUGCGAGAGCAGCUGGUAGUAUCUACAUAAAAAUCUUGAAUAAAACGCGCAGUUUCACGUGAUCACGUCGACAAUAUGUCAAUUAUCCUCGCGUUUCGGAGGGAGGAGGGUACAGAAAGAAGAAUACACACGAGCGCAGAAAGUGUGUAACUGAACAGAGGAACGGAGCAAGCAAACAGGGAAUCAAAGCAUCGGUGGUUGCCUAUGUACAACCGGAACAACCGGCCCCGGAAAGACCGGAGAGCACAAAAAGAGGGCGAAGCGUGAAUCGUGGAGGUGAGCGUGGCCUCAAGAGAGAAGACAAAGAAGUCGUGCUGUUGUGCUGCUAGUGCGAGAUGCCGGACCGUGGGACUUACGCGGGUAUUCUACUAGAGUUAGUCCCUUUAGAUUUUUCUCUCUCUUCUCUGGGAACGCGCAUCAGAUUAAGGAAUGAGGAAUGUGAGAAGGGAACGGGAAUGAACGACAAGUAUGUGUAUGCGUGUGUGUGAGAUGAUAUACACCUUUUGAAGGGUAGCGUCGUGAGGGUUAAAGCGGAACUUUUUGUGGCUCGUUAAGUCGUUGGGAAGUCGCGACCGGAUGCUAAAACCGUGGCUCUUUGUUACACGAGGCCGGCCUGCUUCGCGUUUCGAUAUAUCCAAAAUCUUUUUCUUUUUCUUUUUUUUUUUUUGCUAACGAUCGCGUGAUCGAGAUUUCGCGGUGCGUUUGACGUCCUUCGGAUCGUUAGAGCGAUCUUGACGGUUUCGACGACUGAUUUGAAUCUAAUUACGCCGAUCGUAGGAAA